rnacentral:rRNA from 1 species
CCAUGCAGUCGAGCGGAAGGCCCUUCGGGGUACUCGAGCGGCGAACGGGUGAGUAACACGUGAGCAACCUGCCCUAGGCUUUGGGAUAACCCCGGGAAACCGGGGCUAAUACCGAAUAGGACCCCUGGACGCAUGUUUGGGGGUGGAAAGUUUUUCGGCCUGGGAUGGGCUCGCGGCCUAUCAGCUUGUUGGUGGGGUGAUGGCCUACCAAGGCGACGACGGGUAGCCGGCCUGAGAGGGCGACCGGCCACACUGGGACUGAGACACGGCCCAGACUCCUACGGGAGGCAGCAGUGGGGAAUAUUGCACAAUGGGCGGAAGCCUGAUGCAGCGACGCCGCGUGAGGGAUGACGGCCUUCGGGUUGUAAACCUCUUUCAGCAGGGACGAAGCGCAAGUGACGGUACCUGCAGAAGAAGCACCGGCCAACUACGUGCCAGCAGCCGCGGUAAGACGUAGGGUGCGAGCGUUGUCCGGAUUUAUUGGGCGUAAAGAGCUCGUAGGCGGCUUGUCGCGUCGACUGUGAAAACCCGCGGCUCAACCGCGGGCCUGCAGUCGAUACGGGCAGGCUAGAGUUCGGUAGGGGAGACUGGAAUUCCUGGUGUAGCGGUGAAAUGCGCAGAUAUCAGGAGGAACACCGGUGGCGAAGGCGGGUCUCUGGGCCGAUACUGACGCUGAGGAGCGAAAGCGUGUGGAGCGAACAGGAUUAGAUACCCUGGUAGUCCACGCUGUAAACGUUGGGCGCUAGGUGUGGGGGGCCUCUCCGGUUCCCUGUGCCGCAGCUAACGCAUUAAGCGCCCCGCCUGGGGAGUACGGCCGCAAGG